UACGUAGGGUGCAAGCGUUGUCCGGAAUUAUUGGGCGUAAAGAGCUCGUAGGCGGUUUGUUGCGUCUGUCGUGAAAGCCCACGGCUUAACCGUGGGUUUGCGGUGGAUACGGGCAGACUUGAGGCAGGUAGGGGAGAACGGAAUUCCCGGUGUAGCGGUGAAAUGCGCAGAUAUCUGGAGGAACACCGGUGGCGAAGGCGGCAUUCUGGACCGACAUUGACGCUGAGGCGCGAAAGCCAGGGGAGCAAACGGG
rnacentral:rRNA from 1 species